ACACAUAUAUACGUAUAUAUGUGUGUAUAUAUAUAUACACACAUAUAUAUGUAUAUAUGUGUG
rnacentral:pre_miRNA from 12 species